rnacentral:rRNA from 1 species
CACGCCGUAAACGAUGAGUGCUAGGUGUCGGGGGGGAACCCUCGGUGCCGCAGCUAACGCAAUAAGCACUCCACCUGGGGAGUACGAUCGCAAGAUUGAAACUCAAAGGAAUUGACGGGGGCCCGCACAAGCGGUGGAGUAUGUGGUUUAAUUCGACGCAACGCGAAGAACCUUACCAAGGCUUGACAUUGAGUGAAAGGCUAAGAGAUUAGCCCCUCUCUUCGGAGACACGAAAACAGGUGG